GCCGCAAAGGCAGCGCGGGUUCCCGUCCCCCUCGGCCAGGCUCCGCCUGCAGCCUUGGCCCCUUGGUGCUGUCGAGCCUGCCUUGCGACGCUGGGCUCGGCCUCAGGGAGAGGCCAGGGCCCCCUUCCAGCCUCACAGGAGUCAGCAGUGAGCCGCCGGCAGCCAGGGCCUCGGACCCAGAGGGCUGCUAAGCCUUGGCUCCAAGCCCGGUGUUGUGCAGCACGGCACAGCUCAAGCCCCAGCCGUAAAAGGCCAAGGCUCAUCAAACAUCUAGGGAGCGAAACCUAUGUUCUUCAGUAGAUGCGUGCGGUUUCAGGAAGAAUACAGUCCAAGCCUGGGGAUCUUCCAGCUGGAAACAGAAACUGAUGGAGUCUGUUUUCUCAAGGCUGAGGUUGCAUACUAUGGACAAGAUAGGCAGCUGAUGUAAAUCAGUGCAACUCCAUUACCUUUAACUACAUCAGUUUACAAAAGCUGAAGGUCCAGCUCUACAAGUGCUGUAAACUAAGCACUACGGGAAGAGUCAUGAAGAAGAUGAUAGCACAUCUUUGAAUUCCAUUAUGUUAGUUUACCUAAUUUAUGGUAUGUACUGCUUAGCGUGUUGAUUUUUUACUGUUAAUAGCAUAUAUUAUUAGAUACAAUAUAACUUACCACUUGGCUUCAUAACUUUAUGGACUCUGGAUGAAGGUUCUGAAAAGGAUACACAUAGUUAACGCUAGUGUUCCAAAGAAAGUUACUGGUAUCUUGGCCAACAUUUUAAAAUAUGCAUGCCAAAAUUUAAGCUCCUGAGUCCAUACAUAGGGACCUUGGGUUGGAUAAUGGAACUUGUGCUCCUAAAUCACGCAGGUGAUUUUGAAAAUCCUGUCCCUUAGGAACUAGCAUGGUUUGCAUAAGUACUGAGCACACAACUGAAGUCAAUGUAUGAGUUUGAAAUCAGUGGGAGUUGCUUAGCAUUUCUGAAAAUCAAGCCACUUGUUUAGGUGUCUAAAUUUGUACUUAGGAGCCUAAUUUGAGGCCUCCACUUUUGAAAAUCUUUGUCUAAAUUGCUGGAGAUUUAUUGCUCUAUUAGAAACAUUUGGUGAGAUUUGUAGUUUAGUGUAGGUUGAAAGUAUAAGUAUUGAGUGUUCCAAACAGGACCAUUCAGUUACUAUUUCACAUUGUCAAUGUAAUCUUACCUUGGAAGCAUUAUAUAGAAGAUUCUGCUUGAAAAACAACUGAAACACUUUAUUGACUUGAUUGUUUCUCAGUGGUAAUUGUUGCUUUAUGUUAAGUCACGAUAUCAAUAUUCCUGCAAACUAUACUUAAAUGACUUGGUAUAAACUGAGUAUUACAUUUCUCUGAUCUACUUGAUCACUGUCUCUUAAUAUUUAAUUAAGUAGUUGAAGACAGACAUAAUAAAAAGUUAGGAUGCAAAACUGGUCAAACUAUGUAAACAUUUUAACUGCAGCAAGAAAAACAAUAAAUAACCAGGAAAGGUUAUUAAAGAUGAAAAAAGACCAACAGUACCAUUUAUCAAAUCUCUAGCCUUCAGAAGGCUGAUAGGAUUCUGAUUUUAAGACAACAGGCUAAAUGUAAUUAAGGUAUUAAUUAUUCACCUUUUUAAAAAAUAAGCAUGUCAGUGUUACAUAAAGUACUUGGCUUUCUGAUAUAUGCAUAAAUAAAUAAAUACACACCCACAAACAUCCAUUGUUUUUUAAAGUGUGCAGUUUGGAUUUUAUGGUAACGUAAUAAAAUCAAAUGGCACAUAUACCAUAAGACUAUCAAAACAACCUGUUAAAAGAUACCUGUAUUUUUUCUCUAUCCAAUCCAUGAGUGUUUUACUAUGGCUUUAAAAUCUCACUUUGCCAUGACACUUGGCAAUAUACAUCCUAGAUGUGGAAAUAUGCAGCUUCAUUUGAAACCCACUGUCACCUCACGAAAAAAUUUAGCUGUAAGUAAUGUAUGUGUCUGUGUGUGUCUCUCUCUCUCUCUCUCUCUCUCUCACGCACACACACACACACACACACACACACACCCCCCUACCUCAAGAGAGGCAUCUAUCACUUUCAAAUAUACUCGGCACUGAAAAGACUCAAGUUCAGUUGUUUUUUUGAAAUUUUAGUUUAGUUUAAUUUUCGGCACAUUCCUACUUUUCUUCUAUGUUCAGUAGAUAGAAAUAAUAUUUUGUCUUUCUAUAGUACCUUCUAAGAAUCUCAAGUUACCCCUCAAACAUUAACUAACUUUUACAAUACCUGUGUGAAGUGAGCAGUAUUAAAUCCCACUGUAUAAACUGUAUGAGAUUAAGUGACAAGCUUAAGGUUACUAUGGUACAGUCAGGAAUGGAACCCAGGUCUUCUGGUUCCCAGUCUUGUGUCUUAUAAACCACAGAGCUUUCUCCUCGUCAUUCUCCAAAAACCUCUUAAACUAGGCUAAUAGCUUGUGAGGAAAGAAAAAAAAAAAAAACAAACCAAAAACCCACACACACUUUAUUAUGUGUUUGAGUGUAUGUGUUUUGAGUUUGAAGGAGCAAAACUGAUAACUAGAACAAACUGGAAAUUUUCCAGUGGACCAUUUUUCUGCCAGAAAAUCCCAUUUGUACCAUUCAGUGGGAAUGUCCAAUUACUACAGAAACAAGGCAGGUUUUCCCAUGGAAACCUGCCUGCCAACCAGGUUUUGAAACCUGCCAGCUUGCCUGCCCAGCUCCACAGGAACCUGGGUUCCCAGCUCCUCAGCAGCCAGCCAGCCAGCCUCC